UACGUAGGGGGCUAGCGUUGUCCGGAAUCAUUGGGCGUAAAGCGCGUGUAGGCGGUCCGGUAAGUCCGCUGUGAAAGUCGGGGGCUCAACCCUCGAAUGCCGGUGGAUACUGUCGGGCUCGAGUCCGGAAGAGGUGAGUGGAAUUCCUGGUGUAGCGGUGAAAUGCGCAGAUAUCAGGAGGAACACCAAUGGCGAAGGCAGCUCACUGGGACGGUACUGACGCUGAGACACGAAGGCCAGGGGAGCAAACGGG
rnacentral:rRNA from 1 species